GAAUAUUGGACAAUGGGGGCAACCCUGAUCCAGCCAUGCCGCGUGUGUGAAGAAGGCCUUAGGGUUGUAAAACACUUUCAGCGGGGAAGAUGAUGACGGUACCCGCAGAAGAAGCCCCGGCUAACUCCGUGCCAGCAGCCGCGGUAAUACGGAGGGGGCUAGCGUUGUUCGGAAUUACUGGGCGUAAAGGGCGUGUAGGCGGCCUGCCAAGUCAGAUGUGAAAGCCCCGGGCUUAACCUGGGAACUGCAUUUGAGACUGGCCGGCUAGAGGUUGGAAGAGGAGAGUGGAAUUCCCAGUGUAGAGGUGAAAUUCGUAGAUAUUGGGAAGAACACCAGUGGCGAAGGCGGCUCUCUGGUCCACACCUGACGCUGAGGCGCGAAAGCGUGGGGAGCAAACAG
rnacentral:rRNA from 1 species